CAUAAAAAGCAAGACCGGUUUGCAACUGCACAUGGGGACAAAGAUUGUACCUUUUGGAGAAAUGUCCUCUCAUCUGAUGAAACAAAAAUAGUGUUUUUGCUUCCAGCAAGCAAACUAAUAAGUCACAAGUAUGUCGGAUAAUAGCCCACUGAUAGCACGACGGUUUACCCGUGUGUCGCCAAUAGCUAAAGAGAAAGUGUUACAGCUCCUUCCCCCACUAAGACUCCUGUGGAUGGGAAAGAGAUUGUAAUUCUCCUUGUGCAUGCCUUCUCGUUUCCCAUUGUCUAGGAAGUCUAUUGGUGGUGGGGUAGGUUUCUCAAAAGCAACUGAAAUCACAAAAACUGUCUGGACGCUUCUAUAACAUGCCAUUUACAUGGAAAAUAGAAAUGUUACAUUCUUCACACAAAUCCAUUAAUGUUAAUAUGAGAGAAGCGCCAGAUCUCAAAUUAGGAUUCAGCCCUUCAUAAAUAGCCACUAAUAUAUAUGUAUAUACAGCAGUGAUGAACACCAAUGAAAUACUAAUCAUAACCCAAUAGGAAGAGGAAGGAACACAUGCAUAACUGUGACAGAAAUUGACACAAAGUGUGACUGAAUCUCUUUUUAAUAAAAUAGAAAAUUCAUACGUUUUUGUUUUUCCAUUACAUUUAAGAAAGAAAAAAAAUGCUUAAGAAUAUUGUGACACGCUCAGCUGUUCAGUGGUUGAUCUGGAGUGAGAAAAGAGCCAGCAAACACAAGGAAAACGAGUACAUACAUGUAUAUGUACAUACACAUACAUUAUGAAUGCAACAAAAAAAAAGAAUUUUGUACACAAAUUGUGCCACUGGUAAAAUGUACUGGCCGUUGAAUCAUUCUAUUUAAAUCAGGCCGAUGGACAGAAAGAGAAAAAGACGCACUAACGCAAAUCUCCAAAAGAAAUAUUAAAUCGGCUUGCUGAAACAUAACUUAAAUGUACAAAGAAAAAGCGUCAUUACCCAGCAGAGUUUUACAUUUGGUAGUGAAAUGACUUGGUGAAUUCAGAAAAGAGCCCAGCUACUGAAAUACACCCACCCUAGUCAUGGAAAGUAAACUGUCAAAUAUUUGAAUAUAUAAAAACAACAUUAGGUUCUGCCAAACAAAUCCAACAUUGCAUGGACCGUAUCAUUCAUAUGGAUACUCCGAACAAAACUAGUUUUAUUUCUUAGAGGAUAAGAAUUCCUACUGUUAAAAGAAAGAUAACAGGGGUCGAAGUGGACUUAUUGCUUUUAUAAAUGGCUUUAUAAAGGGUUAGAAUUAUUGAGGGAAGAGAGCAGAAUAAACCUAGGUCAUUUCACCACCGCGUGAAAGUAAAAAGCCUUCUGGACAGUGCAGUAACGAUCUAGCAACAUACACCAUAGUACAAUCAUGUGUUACUCUGCAAACCAGAGUUAAAUAUGAAGAAGAUUUAGCUAGGAGACCCUGGUGUUUCCGGGUCCACAGAGUUUGUUUGUUUCUUGCUUCACAGCCCAAAGACCGUAGCGAGAAGCAACGUCCCA